UGAAGUUUUAACUGUAGAGAAUAAUAAUAUUUGAGUAUGAUUUUUUUAAGUAGUGCUUAGCAAAGAAUCUAUUGAUUUUACUUUGCGUGAUUUUUUUUUUUUUUUAAUAAUUUUUUUUUUAAUGACUGUGAGCACUUUUUCUGACAGGAAUUUUAUGUAGUUUUUUGGGGAGGUUUUUUUUUAAUUUUCCAAGGAGUUUUCAUAAUAAUUGGUAAAAAUUUAAAAAAAAUAAAUGUUCGGAAAACUGGCCAUUAUUUACAGCAUGCCCCAGCUUUACUGAUUUGAUCGUUUUUAAUUUUCACGAUUCGUGUUUCCUACAAGAAAUCUUACUUCAAUCAAAAAAUAACAAGAGACUUUUUUUGGUUAAUUUUUAAUCUAUUUCGUGUAUAAGAAAAUCAGUUUUUGAUUUUCCGUGUAG